UACGGGGGGGGCAAGCGUUGUUCGGAAUUACUGGGCGUAAAGGGUGCGCAGGCGGCCGUGUGUGUGAGGCGUGAAAGCCCGGGGCUUAACCCCGGAAUUGCACCUCAAACUACACGGCUAGAGCAUUGGAGAGGGUAGCAGAAUUCACGGUGUAGCAGUGAAAUGCGUAGAUAUCGUGAGGAAUACCAGAGGCGAAGGCGGCUCCCUGGACAAUUGCUGACGCUCAGGCACGAAAGCGUGGGGAGCAAAAGGG
rnacentral:rRNA from 1 species